GCUUCUGUGGCCUAAGUAAUUAGAGCGUCCGUCUCGAAUGCGGGAGGUCAUGGGUUCGAACCCCGACCGAGCCA